rnacentral:lncRNA from 1 species
CUGCAGCCUAAGGGCUUCCCUAAAUCAUUAUUCUGUUCUAGCAAGCUGGAACUUAAACUAUAGUCAAACACUAGCAUGAGCCAGGGAAAAUCUGAUCAGAACCUCUUUUCCUCUGCUCAUCAGUUCCUAUUCUGAGGAUCAAACCUGCAUUUCCUCUGUGUGGUUGAAAGCAGUACAUUAGUGGGAAUAAGCACCAGCAGCACGCAGCUGAAUCUGCUGAUGAUACCGGUGUUUGGACUAGACCAGAACAUGGCAGUACUGGCUGGCUCUUUUGGAACCUAAGCCUGUGGUCCUAGGGAGAAGUGUUCACCUGCUUGUUGAUUCACUGCCGGCUGUGUUCCCUGACUGCAAUCAGAGCACAUUUUCCCCUUCAGAAGUUUAGAAUCAAGGAGAAGGUAAACACAUGCCAAAUCUUGCAGUGAUGUUGGCCCGCUCCCAAAGUUGCAACAUAAUGAAGAAAACGUUCAGUUUAGAACUCUGUGCCCCUUUUUUACAACAUUCCUUAGCAAGCCCUCUCUACCAUGGCAUUACUGCUUCAUCCCAGGAAUAAUUCACCUGAUGCACCCUGAGACCAUGCUGCCUUUUUCACAGGGUAAUGUUAAUGGCUAAAAUGAUCAGGUAAUAAACUCAGAUGUAGUUCUCCCUGUUGCUUCCCGCUUGUGUUGGGUAAAAUGAAAUGUAACAAGUUUAUGAACCACAUCAUAGGUCAUAAAAGUUUUUGUAUUUUUGCACAUAUCUCUGGUUUUUCUACUUCUGUCUGAAAGCAAGGGAACAAAAUCUCUCCCCUGCAGUCUAUAUAUUGGAACUCCUUCUUCAUGUGAAAUGCUCUCUUGGGUCAAAGGGAUGUUUACCCUUUGGUGUUGGGGACAGUUGAUGGAAAUCUCUGCUACCCUUUCUUUUAGGAUAUUUUCUGGAAUCUGAGUCCAUGUUAAACUGGCAGCAGAUUCACCCAUCAGUCCAGGAGCCAGGAUAAAGCAGUAGUUUCAGUGUUUUCUUCUGCUCCCAUGUGCGUGUCUUUCAUAAAGGGAUGGGAAAUGCAUAAAGCUCUUCCUUGUGGAAGGGGGGAUUUCUCCUGGUCCUGCAGGUGUAGCACUUCUCUGGUUCCUUUUCGCUAAGCUGAGAUAAACUUACUGUUGUUCUUUCUUGGUAUCUCUCUUGUGCAUCUGUAGAAAAUUACCAUAAAGUGCUCUCCAAAGGUGAAGAAAAAUGUCACAGGCAAAAUGUAGAGUUGAGACUUUGGUUUACAAGACUGUUAGCUGUAGAGGGACAUCAAAUUCACUUUUAUCUCCCCACCAUCAAAAAUACACGUUUUUGCUUGUUAGAUGGAAGAAUAUGUAAAAGAAGAUAAUUGGGCCUUGAGGAGAGAUUGUAGAAUUUGGUUUAGAAUAAUACAGUAAAACUAAAACAGUGGAAUUUAAUGAGGGAGUUUCCUCUUUUUAUUAAGCUUUCCAGAUUCCAGAGCUCCAGAUAAAGAUCUAGGUGUUUUGCUGUUUGCUUUGUCUAAAAUCAGAAAGCAGCUUCUAAACCAUAGUCAUGGUGAUAGACACCUGCAUAAACUCCUCUUGUAUUAGCUCCAAACUGUGUUAGCACUGAAUGGCAUAAACAUCCCUCAUCCAUUAGCUAAUUCUGCUACAGUUGACUGUUGAUUUCACAAGAAAAUAAAUUAACUGAACAUAAAUAUCUUGAAGUGAAAGCAAACCAUGGUAGUAAAAAUAAUAACAAUAAAAUUGCAAUGAAACAAAACAAAAGACAUUAAAAUUAGAGCAAGUGGGUAUCUGAAUCAGCAUAAAAGAGUCUAUACCCAGGUGUUGGAUGGUGUAGUUCAGUGGUGGAUGCCUGAAUAUAGCUACAGUGAUGUCUUUCCAAGGGAGCCUUGUCUCCAGUGCCAUAUCUGACUUAGAGAAAAAAAUAUUCCAAAGAUAAAUGAAAGACCCUCUGUGGGUUGUACCCUUAGAUCAGGUGAGGGGCUCUCGCUCAGUGAUUGUGUGAGAAGAUUCAGACUCAGUUCUCACAUUGUCAUGCAUUGCUUUCAUGUUGCACAGUGAAAAUGACGACGUAGGAAGGAGAUGACAGAUUAAUACCCAGAAAACUUCAUUCUUACCUCACACUAGUUUUGCUUCAUUGUAUGUCGUGAGAUGAGAUUGGCUAGCUGUACAGUGAGAUGAGUAUCCAUCCCUUCCAUAACAUUCAACACACUCAAAAAAAGCAGCAGUGGAUCUGCUGAUGCAGUGCUCACAAAAAGUUAAUGAUGAAAGACUAGUCUUCCUUUGCUAUUGCUUAGGUUAUUUUCACUGAUAUUUUACAUGAAAAUUAUUAUUCAGAACUGAAUAAAUGGAUUACUCUAUUACAUCUGCUCACCUUCAAUCUCUUGCUGUCGAACAGAUACAUAAAAUUUCUCCUCACUGUUAUUUUUCUACCUUGCCAAUAUUCAAUUGCCAUAUGGACAACUGUUCGUAGUAAAGAGUUUUAAUACUUUUACUUUAGUUACCAAUGUGAAUUCUAGUGGCUAAUAUGCUUGAUUUUAUUUGCAGAUGGGAUGUGACCUUCGGCUGCCCUGGGUAAGUCACUUCCUGCACACUUGGAUGUCAAUGGAUUAAUACUGAAUGGGUUAAAUUUGGCUUUCAGGCCUCCUAAUUUGCUAUUUGCUGUUGUGCCUUAGGCUGGACCAGGCUCUGAGCAUCCGGAUGGGGCUGUAGGUGUCACGAGCUUUGCCAGACCCCACAGUGCAUGUGAGCCACAGCUCAGUGCCUCUGUGCAGGGAUCGGUCCUCUCUGUGUUUUGGGGAAUAGCUAAUUGCACCGUACAAUUGGUUCCCUUCCAUGCUUUUGGAAGUUGAUUUUUCAGUUUUAAAUUUGCUAUCUGCUAAGGCUGGUUAUAGUUUCGAAAAUUAAUUCGGAUGUUAACUACUAUCUGGUUCAUAUCCUUGAGGAUUAAUAAAGAUUGAGUUACUUAUGAAUAGGUAUUCCCUACUGUUACAUAGCAAUUGUUUAAAAUACUUGAAACUAUGUCCUUAAUAAAUGUGUUUGAAUUCUAACAAGUAAAUACCUCUUAUGCUGCUUCAGAUAGUUUUGACCCAAUUGACUUAAAAAAGAAAGAAAGAAAGAGAGACAGCCAAGAAAGAUGAUCCAAGCUACAAAACAUAAAGAUGUCUGAUCUAUAUUGAAUAUUAAAGGCAACCAUCCUAUCAGCCCUGAUACAAAUAUAUAUGAAUCUGAAAGAUUUUGGCAAUCUCUUCAGAAUCCCCAGAUGGCAUUGGUUGCAGACAUUGCUGAGAGGAACUAGGCAGUCUUUCAGAUCAACACACAGGCAUGGGGGUUCCUAUGCAUUUGUUGUUGAUAGUAUUAGUAAAAGUGCAGCAAUAAAGUUUAGUAAACUUUUUGUUUUCUGUAAUCACGGGCUUACCUGGGUCAAAAACAUUAGUCAUGGAUAUUCGUUACAAACUGUAAGCUCAUAACAGACUGCAUAUGGCAGUCCUGAAUUUCUUGCUACCUGAAGUUAAAUUCACAGUAAUAGCAUCUGUGCAGAAUUUAGGAUCCCAACAAUUAGAGUGAGGUCAGUGUAAGUAAUGUAAGUCAAUGCAAGUAAGGCAAUGAUUGAUGGAAUUCUGUAAAUCUGUGAAAUAGGUACAAAAUAAGCAAACAAUUUCUUAUUUACAAAUAUAUAUAUAUAUAUAUAUAAAACAGAUAACUGUGGUGUGUUAAAUAAUGAGGUCCAAAAGGAGCUCUGUCAUAUUGUGGGUUGUGUUACUGGAUUGUAAUGCACAAGCAGGGGUGCAUAUGGAGCACACUUUUUUCUGCUUUUUGUUGCUGUUAUAACAAAUAAUGAGUAAUAUCCACUGCGUAGGACCAAUUAAUGAAGUUAUUCUCUGCUCAGGGUGAUUCCUGGAGGUUUAUAAAUGAGGCAAGGAAAGCAAACAGGCUAUAUUUCUAGAGAGCAUAGAAUCUUAGGAUGGCUGAGGCUGGCACAGACCUUUGGGUCCCUCUGGUCCAAGCCCUGCCUAAGCAGGGUGGCCAGGACCAUGCCCAGACAGCUUAUAAAGAUCUCCAGGGAGUAGAUUCCAUAAUCUCUCUGGGCAGCCUUCGCUAGUGCUAGAUCAUACAUCCACUGAAUCCUGAGUUGGAAGGGGCUCACAAGGACUGUUGAGUCCAAAUUCUGGCUCCACACAGGACCACCCAAAAUUUAAACUGUAAUUCUGCAAUAUUUGCAGCUUUGCUUCAGCACCAGAAUCUUACUUUCAUAUUUAUGCUUUCUUUCUGAUUUUUCAACAGUUUUAAUGUACAGCACUUCCACCAUGCCUUUGGUUCUAGAUUUGGAUCGCUUUUUUUCUUAACACAAAGCUGUGUAUGAUCUUUGACUUGCUGAAGUUUUUGGUGUGUACGACAGCAUAUGGGGAGAGUACAAAUGCAAGCAGUGAGCACAGUCAACGUAACUGGGGGUCACUCCAGUGCUCAUCCUUUGCUUUGGGCCAGUUUGUCUGUACGGUCCUAGCUUGAAACUGAAGUUCAACUUCCUCAUGGAACUAAAGGUUAUGACUGAGCUAUGCGUUUUAAAAGGUGAAGUUUAGUGGGUAAUUAUCCAAAUCUAGAAGUAAAAUUGGUUUCAAACCAGCAGGAAUUGAAAAAGGUGAAAAUUCCUAUAUUACAACCUUUUCUUGAGCCUCCUAUGUGGUUUUAGUGGUAAGUGGUCCUCAGAUCACUGUCUUCUGUGGUUCAACUACCACGUCUUUUACCUCUAUGAUGUGUGCUAUUCUAAAAGGGGAAAAAAAAAAGACAUCAAAAAUACUCCCACAAGAAGCAUAGUACAGAGAUGAUAUGUUUCUUUUUCACCUGCUUGUGCUUUCCCACCUCAUAAUUGUGGUUUCUGUUGAUGCCUCUCAAAAAUGAUGCAGUGAAUGUCUGUAGCAAUGGGGCUGACUGCAGCAGGGUUGGGAAUGGGAAGAAAAAGGAGAAGAUUUUUUGCUCAGCUGUGAGGCUGGAGACGAGGAAACCUGUACUUAUUUUAUCCAUGCAAUGAGGAUAAUAUACAAAUAAAAUUGUGAAACAUAAAUCAUAUGAUGUAUCAUAUGAUAGUAUCAUAAUAUUAUCAUAGAUCUAUCAUAAUAGAAAGGAACAGCAACAGGGCCAUGCAGGGAAAUCCAAACCCAGGACAAAACAGAGAAAUCCCAGAAAGCUGGGACUAAAACCACGUGAACAGGGAAGGGUAUUAUUUCAGAGGGAAUAAUCAAUUAAAAAUAGACCUAGAAUAUAUAGUAUUUUAUACUGUAGAUACAGUUUGGAAUAGUAUUGGUAAAGAAAACUAUCAUAUCAUUUGAGAAACAUGCUGCACCACCAUCUUACCCACCAAAUCAAAUAUUUCCAGGGCAUUAUGCGACUGGAUGUGUUGCAUAUACACUCAUGAUUUAAUCACAGUAUAUUCUAUUUUAAAAUCAAGAAAAAGACAAGAGGACCUCACUGGAAGCAGAAGCUGGACAAGAAAAUAUUUCCUACUGACUAAAAAGAAAACCAUUCAUAAACAGUGGAAGUGUUAUAUUGAUUAUCUUUAAACCAGUGCAUUUAUCAGCGUCAUUUUUUUUUUCCUUUAAAAGGAAGCUCUCAGUUGGCAGCUCUAUGUUGUGGUCAUUCGCUUAAAAAUGAGAAUUUAGUAUCUUCUGGCAUUAUGUCAAGCACCAGUAAAGCUCUAGAAAUACCUUAUCUAUAACCUAACUCUGAAGUUUGGCUCGAAAUUUGGAACAAUAAGUACAUUUCAAAGAUGAGCUGCUUUUUUUUUUACUCUCAUAUAGAAUGUAAUGUCUUAUUUAAAGGAACCUAUAAUGUUUCUGGCUUGUACUCGUGGCAUCUUGUGCAGUUAAGACCCUGAGUUUCAUAAGCAAGGAGAGAGACCUUUUCUUGCUUGGGAAUCAUCCAAGGAAAAAUUGGUAGGCUAUGGAAGCUUGCAGGAAAGCAAAGAAGUAGGUGACGAUGCUCUUUUGACUGCACUUCCCAGCCAAGGUAAUAUCGUAUUUCUUGGAAUAUGAUACCAAAGAACUUGCAAAUGAGGAAUUAUCUGAUGGAUUUACAAUCUGGAAACAUUUUACCCCCCAAAAUCCUGAUUUGCCAAAAGCAAGUUGUUAAAAGGAAAUAUCUUCAUUUUUUUUUUAAUUUUUUUUUUUUCCUUUUCAGGCAGAUUCUCCUGUGAGUCAGUGGUGGAUUUGGUUUCUACAGAGCUCAGCUACCUGCACCAGUCAAUGCUGGGGACUUCUCAAAGAAAUGGUUCCAAAUUCUCCCAGUGUUGAGUUAGCAUACUCCAGGAGGAACCCACCAGUUACAGAGGGCUUUGUAUUACUGGUCCAGGAGCAAUUUCAGUGUCAAAAUUGCCCCAGGAACUUUGGGAAUAGUUGGGCAAAAUGAUGGUCACAUCUGGCACCUCUCAUGGUGUUCCAGUUGUUUACUUAUUAGUGAGUGAGUAGCAUGUGGGGCUGCAGGAGCCCACAGGCAUCCACUUCCAAAUCCUCGGAGUUGCUGCAGUGCACAGCUCUUGCUCUUCUUUUAUUUUUUCUUUCCAAACAAGUUUUUUUAGCCUUUGACAUUUUAGGAGAAAUUUACAAAAGAAAAAGAAGAGAAAGAUCUAUUCUGAUUUCUGACAAAAUAAAGUUAAACUUCUGCAAGAAUUUAAGUAAGCAAUCAAAAACUGACUAUAGGUGUAAUAAGCAGAACUUUAUGUAUUUAUGCCCAUCAAAGAGGCAACAGCAGAGUAGUGUUGUCUAUCUAUGUGCAGAAAACAGUGGUUUUCUCAGCUUCAUCUCAUGAGUAUGCAGAUGUGGCUGUGGCUAAAGGAGAUGUGCUUGAAGCGGUAAUCAACCUUUUAAUUCCAAUGGUAAAAUUGCCAUGUGAAGGCAUGCAACUCCUCGAGGGCUACAUGACUCUCCAUACAGUCUUGGCACUAUGUGGGCACCAUUGGUACCCACGAUGCACCCCAGACCUUACCUACACUCUGCUCUGUGUCAGGACUCAUUUCAGGACUCAUUUUGAUCUCAUUUCAGAGGUGACUGUACUGUGGGACUGUACAGAGCCAUGCUGGAUCAGAAAUGGAAAACAGAACCAUAGCCAGCAACAGAUGGAUAGAAGAAUUUUGGCUGGAUGUUGCACAAAAAGGUCUACGUACUCUUAGGUUUGUGGUAGAAGAGUUCUCCAAGAUGCUAAUUUUAGGUACAGUUUGAUGUAGAACAUUUGUUCUUCAAUAUCGACGACCUUCUUCAAAAGCACACAUUAUUCCAGACCUUGGGUAUGACAUAAAGGGUUAAGCUGUCCUGUUGUACGGAGAAGCCAGAGCCGCCUCACUGCUCUGUGAAAUCCAAGGAAAGCAGUGGCUCCCGAAAUUCCCUCCCUUGCCUGAACAGUUUGAAGGUACAGUUCUCCAUAGUGCAUCUUCUUCUUAAUAAUGACAACGCCUUGUGAAUGUUUAUGUAAAAACACAAUUCAAAAGUACUCAUCCCAGCUGCACUGAGCUUGUCAAGUGAGUCAUUUUUUCACCUGGCAGUAUGAUGUUGUAAAGCUCAGUUAUCUUAACUAAUCCUGGCUAAAACGCAAAAUUCUGUUUUGUACGAAAAUUCCUGGCCAGCUCUAAUCUUAACCUCUUGCCUAUUUGUAGCUUCUAAAUUGAUGUCACAGUUGUAAUAGCUUUGAAAACCCAUAUGUUUGUAAACUAUAGAAACCUUGAUAUUCCAGGAGAUGCAGACAAGAAUUACAUCUCUUGGCAAUGGUGCUUUCAGCUCAGUUUCAGCUAAUGUUGGCUCCUCAUUUUUAUGCCUGUAUACUACGCCAAAUCUUCCUUAUCUAUGCAAACAUAUUAA